rnacentral:rRNA from 1 species
CCUACGGGAGGCAGCAGUAGGGAAUUUUGCGCAAUGGGCUAAAGCCUGACGCAGCAACGCCGCGUGAUCGAGACGCCCUUCGGGGUGUAAAGAUCUGUCAGUGGGGACGAAACUUGACGGUACCCACAGAGGAAGCACCGGCUAACUCCGUGCCAGCAGCCGCGGUAAUACGGGGGGUGCAAGCGUUGUCCGGAAUCAUUGGGCGGAAAGAGUGCGUAGGCGGCAAGUAAAGUCGGGUGUUAAAGGCAGAGGCUCAACUUCUGUACGGCACUGGAUACUUGCGAGCUAGAAUGCGGUAGAGGUAAAGGGAAUUCCUGGUGUAGCGGUGAAAUGCGUAGAUAUGAGGAGGAACAGCGGUGGCGUAAGCGGUUUACUGGGACCUAAUUGACGCUGAGGAACGAAAGCCAGGGUAGCAAAUGGGAUUAGAUACCCUAGUAGUC